UUAUCUUCUUGGCCUUUUGGCUAAGAUCAAAUGUAGUAUCUGUUGUGGUAUUUGUAAUCUGGAGUAAAAAGUCCCAGUGACUGUGAACUUGUGAAGAUUCCAACUUCC
rnacentral:snRNA from 1 species